AUACGGAGGAUCCGAGCGUUAUCCGGAUUUAUUGGGUUUAAAGGGAGCGUAGGCGGGAGAUCAAGUCAGCUGUGAAAUGUAGAUGCUCAACAUCUGCACUGCAGUUGAAACUGGUUUUCUUGAGUGCGUAAGGGGCAGGCGGAAUUCGUCGUGUAGCGGUGAUAUGCUUAGAUAUGACGAAGAACUCCGAUCGCGAAGGCGCCCGGCCGGGCCGCGACUGACGCUGAAGCUCGAAGGUGCGGGUAUCGAACAGGAUUAGAUACCCUGGUAGUCCGCACAGUAAACGAUGGAUACUCGCUGUCGGCGAUAUACGGUCGGUGGCCAAGCGAAAGCGUUAAGUAUCCCACCUGGGGAGUACGCCGGCAACGGUGAAACUCAAAGGAAUUGACGGGG
rnacentral:rRNA from 1 species